AGGGCUGGGGUCGGAGGGUGGGAAGGGGCCGGCGCCGCCGCCGCAGCAGCAGUGGGGGUGUCGCGCGGGUGUUUCCUUGUAACCGCUCUGGGGGUUUUAAGUAACGUUUGAUAAGUCGUUCUCCGUGAGGUGCCCGCGGCCCCGAGCAGGACCCGGCGCCUGCCCCCGUCACACGAUGAUUGAAAUGCUUGUAACAACUGAAGCUCAGGAAUUGCUAUACCAGCUCAAUGCUCUGUUGGAACAAGAGUUAAGAUAUCAGCCAAAGGCUUCUGGCCUGAGACUAAUUGAAACUGCUCAUGACAAUGGCCUCCGAAUGACUGCAAGGUUGCGAGACUUUGAAGUAAAAGAUCUCCUCAGCUUAACUCAAUUCUUUGGCUUCAAUACAGAAACAUUUUCUUUAGCUGUGAAUUUCUUAGACCGGUUUCUGUCAAAAAUGAAGGUGCAGCCUAAACACUUAGGCUGUGUUGGACUAAGCUGCUUCUACCUGGCUGUGAAAGCAACAGAAGAAGAAGAAAGAAACAUUCCCUUAGCCACUGACUUAAUUCGAAUAAGCCAGUAUAGGUUCACUGUAUCUGACAUGAUGAGAAUGGAGAAAAUUGUGUUAGAGAAGCUAUACUGGAGAGUCAAAGCUACAACUGCCUUUCAGUUUCUACAACUCUAUCACUUGCUCAUCCAUGAGAAUUUACCUUGUGAAAGGAGAAAGCAUCUUAAUUUUGAGAGACUUGAAGCCCAGCUUAAGGCAUGUCACUGCAGAGUCAUGUUCUCUAAAGCAAAACCUUCUGUUUUGGCAUUAUCUAUAUUGGCACUAGAGAUCGAAGAAAAGAAACUCCUAGAAUUGAAGGAGGCAAUAGAAUGCCUUCAAAUACAUUCCAAGACAAAUAGCAGAGACCUAACUUUCUGGAAGGAGCUGGUAUUAAAGUGCCUUGCAGAAUACUCAUCAAGCAAGUGUUCAAAACCAAAUGUUCAGAAGCUGAAGUGGAUUGUGUCAGGACGUACAGCACGGCAGCUGAAGCAUAGCUACUACAGAAUCUCACACCUCCCCACAAUCCCAGAGACUGGCUCAUAACGGGUGCAUCAACACUAAUGCCUGAGUCUGAAAAUACAAACUGGCAACCCUCCUAAUGUCUCCUGUAAGCAGAGUACCAGUUCUUUCCCAUACUGUGGUGUCCGCUACUUGAAUCUCACUCACUGAAUCUGGAGCACAGCUAGGAAUCUUAAAAUGGAAAGAUGACUGUCCUGAAGGCUGGUUUACAGAAUUCAGCUGUGGAAUUGAAAACUGAAGCCUAAAACAUAGCAGCUGUUCUAGCAUCUGAAGUUCAACUCUUGGAAAACUGAAACAUCCAGAAGGUUUCUUUAAUAGAUCUUUCCAGCAAAUGCAGUUGUAUUGGUGCUGACUACAGGAGUAAUAAGUAGUAAACAAUUCCUGAAGGAUGAAUGAAAUAUACAUAUGUAACAGUGAAGUAUCAUAAUGCUGUUUUAUAGUAGUGAAUAGCCUCCGACAACUUGGUAGUUAACUGAUAAAACAGCUAGUGUUUAACUUUGGCUUACUGCAUCUGUGGCUGUUUAGUUGGAUUACUUCAUGCAAUUUGAUUCUCCACCUCCUAAAACUUGUACGUGAAACAUAGGAGGCAUAAUAUGCUUCAGAACCGCUGAGGCUACCAAAUUGUCUCGGGGAUACCUCCCUGAUACUACACUGAAUAGUCUCUGGGAUGCAGUUACCUAAGUCAAAUGUUUUGUAUUCUGUGACAUGGUGUGUGGUUUUUUUUGUUUGUUUGAGUAGCCAUGUCCUCCUGCACAAGGCAUUGGUCCUUUGAUGCAGUGCAGUCCAUUUACUUCACCUCCAGUGCAGAGUUAACAACUCUGGCUAAGAUGAUAAAAUACAAACCAGACAGAAAUGCUGGGAAAGCCUGCAGUUGUUACUCUGCAUCAUUAUUGAACUUGGCUAUCCUUCUACCCUCAUUUUUGUGAAAAGUAUAAUUUUGUGAACUUUGAAUGGUGGAGAUUGGAAGCAUGGCUUACCAAGCAAACUGCACCCUAUAUCAGUUUGCAAUGUCAGUAAAACUACUACUUGGCUAUUUCUGUCUAAAGUCAGUUACAGAGCCUGACAAUAGCUUUUUUUCCCUAGGGUCACUUAUAGACAAGGACAAAUUCUGAUUAUUACACAGAUGCAGUUUGCAUGCCCUCAAUAGAAAUUGUGCAAGUACCACCAUAAUGUAAGUUGCCCAAGUAGGAAACUGCAUCUAUACCUCUAAUUUUGAGUUCUGAAUUGGCUCUGCUACUUCAUUCCUGGUUUGUCACUGAAAGACCUAAACCUUGUGUGUCAGUGCUAGCUCUUCAGCAGUAGAGGAUGAUCAAACAUGAGGUAGUAUCCUCUAAAGAUGUUCAGAAAGGGGAUGCCUAAGAGCAAGUAAAGCUGCAGUGUUGUAGUUCAUGAAAUGAAUGCCUGAAGCUGGGAUGUAGGCAGUGACCUCUGAAUGCUCCACAUUGCAUUGCAUGGGAACCUCUUAUUGUUCAAUCAUUAAGAACUCCUGUAUGCACUCUUAACUAAUUUGGGCAGUGGGAGAAAAGAACUGUGAAUAAUUUAAAUAAAAUGUGGGGCUGGUACACAAACAUUGAUUUGGGGGAAGACACUCCACCUUCCUUCUAAUGUAGUAAAAGCAUAGUCAGACUUCCUACAGAGCACUUUAAAUUACUGCUAAGUAGUGAACAACUUAAGGAGGGAAAAAUUCUACUAUGAACUUGUAGAUGAAUGUUACUAGCCUUGACUAUGCAGAUAGGUAUGCUGUAUGUAAUUACCACUGCUAACUGGUGAAAGGGAAGCAAAGGAUAGGACAUGCUGUGCAAGUUGAAUGCAACUGCUGAAGAUGCACUCUGACAUUCUUAGCAGAAGUAACAUUGUCUCAAUAUUCAUUAAAGAAUGUACCUUUCAAUAAAACUUAUUGAAAUGCA